rnacentral:ncRNA from 1 species
ACGCCAAGACUGCGACAUCUUGCGGGUUCGGGAGACCGACUUGGCGU